rnacentral:rRNA from 1 species
AUUGAACGCUGGCGGCAGGCUUAACACAUGCAAGUCGAGCGAGCGGCGGACGGGUGAGUAAUGUCUGGGAAACUGCCUGAUGGAGGGGGAUAACUACUGGAAACGGUAGCUAAUACCGCAUACCAUCAGAUCUGCCCAUAUGGGAUUAGCUAGUUGGUGGGGUAAUGGCUCACCUAGGCGACGAUCCCUAGCUGGUCUGAGAGGAUGACCAGCCACACUGGAACUGCGACACGGUCCAGACUCCGACGGGAGGCAGCAGUGGGGAAUAUUGCACAAUGGGCGCAAGCCUGAUGCAGCCAUGCCGCGUGUGUGAAGAAGGCCUUCGGGUUGUAAAGCACUUUCAGCGAGGAGGCGGUAGUCGAAGAAGAAGCACCGGCUAACUCCGUGCCAGCAGCCGCGGUAAUAG